AGUUAAAGAUUUGCUUAUUAUUGCUAUUCAAACAUUAAGAAGCCAAAGCUUAAACUAGGGAUCAUAAUGCUGGUCUAGUGCUGUUUUGGGGAUAUAAUUACCACUGGCCAGCUUCCAAAUUCCCAUGUUUAA